UCCUAAAUGUUUGUUAAUGUUUACGCGGGGUCUUGGGAGAUUCAACCAGUUAGUGAUUAAAUUGGUGAUAUAUGAUCUUCUUGGCUGUGACAGUGAGAUGAAACACAUAGAUAGACGUUUCUAAAGAUUCUGAAGUAAAAUGAAAGAAAAAAUAAGCAACGAUUUGUCAUACAUAAAAGCAGGCUACCGUAGUGACAAGUGGAAAUGGGUGCUCAAUUUACCAGAGGUGGACACUCAGAUGCAAAUCAGCAUUUUGAAAGAACCUGGACCUCCUGAGUCAUGUGUUGCAGAAGGGAAGCAAGAUGUCCCACAGGAUAACAUUGAUAUUGAGAAGGAUGCUGCAGCCAGCAGUGUUCUAUCUGAGACAAGUGAUGUACCAAUACUUCAGAAAAAAGAAACCCCACAGAGUUUUCUGUCUUCUGAUAAACUGUUCUCAGAGGAUCAUCUUACAAAAGAAAACAUCCUAAAAACUUUUGGGCUGGACAAGCGCCCAAAGAAUCUUCCUUGCCAAAAAAGAUGUUCGAGUAAUCCUUGGUGCUUAGCAGAUCUGAGGAGUGGAAUAGGGAAAGAGAAGAUUCGUCCCACAGAUCAACCACGAGAUCCAAACAAACCAGUUGGCUUACAGAAUACAGCAAAUACCUGUUGGAUUAACUCAGCUCUUCAAGCCCUGUUUCAGCUUCCAAAGUUUAGGAAUGUCAUCAAUAAUGUUGAAGGAUUUACUGGAGAGGAAAGUCUGUCUUGUAUGCUGUACCUCCUUCAGGCCAUGUUCGUUGAGAUGGACACCCAUGCCAAUAGAGCUAUAGCAUGUAGCCCAGGAAGCGUGUUUGAAAGAAUGGGACUAUUUGCAACUCAAGAGAUAAUGCGAAAGGAUGCAGACCAUGAAGUACUGAAAUGUGUAUCAGAGUUUUUAGAGAACACCAUUGACAUACUGAUAGCUGAUGCUAGACUAGGGUCAGAGCUCAGUCCCCUUUUCAAUACAAGCCUAAUGAGGUUUGCAAGGUGGAAGUGCCCUGUAUGUGAAACAGAACAUGAAAGCCAUUUAGCGCCAGCUACUGCGUAUACCAUGGCAGCCUAUGUGAGUGGCGAUGAGUGCCCUCUUGAUCAGUGCCUUGUGGACCUGCAGACUGAGACUCAGACAGGGGUAUCAUUGGUGUGUGGGACUGAGAGUAGUGGUCAUGGAGGAUGUGGAGCGAGGGUUAAGGCAGAUCGUAUUGUCACACCAAAGAUUCAGAAUUUGCCAACCAUUCUAGUCAUCAGGAAUAACAGCCUUAUGGAUCGUGACCUGAAGCGGCGUCUGCAUGUAGUGUACCCAGAGACCCUUGAUCUGACUUCUCACACACUUAAUCAUGUAGCUGCGACGUACACACUCUCGGCUGUGAUCUUUCAUCAUGGUCACUGGGUAAAACACUUCUCAGCACAUGUGAAGACUAAAGACAACAAAUGGUACAACUUCAACGAUGAGCAGGUCUCAGAGCUGUCAAAUCGAUCGACAGCAGGGAAUCCUUCUGAGAGUCAUCGCAACUACUUUAGUAUUGCAAAUGUGGCUAACAAGUACAAGCAUCGCUCAGGACUAAGAGUGUCACGAGGCGCAUUCGUUUGGAUAUAUGUGCGGAAUAAUACUUCAGAAGAAGUAACACCUGUGCCACCUCCUGAAUCUGUAGUUGAAUAUGUGUUACGUAAACAGGAGGAAGGCAUGACUGUAAAUUAUCAAAGGCAAGCAGAGAUGAAGAAAGAAAAAGAAGAAUUGAUGUCCCAAUUAGCUGUGUCUGAUAUGUCUGAGGAGUAUUCAGUUAUCUCAGAGCCUCUCCUAAGUGCCUGGUUUAAUGAUGAUGGUCUUCAAUACACUCCCCAGCCAUCAGUUCUUGCACAAGCACUCUGUGACCAUAAACUUUUUAGUCCUCUCAAGUACCAUUUGAUGAAAUGUGUAAGAACAGAAGGGGUAAAAGCCUUGCUAAGUCACCGGUCUGGGAUUCACCAAGAUGAUGCUUUAAAAAAAAUGGAAUGGCCACUCUCCUUGCCACCAGAUACUGGUUGCUGUAAACAGUGUGUUGUAAAAGCUGUAAAUCACAUUUUGUUUAUAGAGAGAGUCAAGGCUCUACACAAGCAAGCCAAAAAGGAUGCCCGCAGAGAACACGAAGGACCAGCUCGAGUGGUUGGACUAGAAACUCUGGAGUACUGGCCAAGAUUAGCAUUAAGUGCCUACGUAAAAGAAAAUGGAAUUGACAUAGAAGAAGAAGAAACAGAAAAUGGAGUGGAGAUGAUCAAGAAAGCUGAGGAUGGUAGUAAGAAUGAGAGUCAACAUAUUGAUAAUGACACUAAAGUUAAUAGUGCUCAUGUCAAUGGUGAUGAAUGUGAGCAAACUGAUGGUAAAUCAGAAAUGGAGAUGGUAACCCCUCGCUGUGAUACCACAAGUUUAGUGCCUGAAACUGAUAGUAAACUCACCUGUGAUAGUCGGACAGCAGAUAUAAAUAUGGAUGUGAAAGAUAAAGACAGAAAACAUUUAGUUAGUUCAGAAAAAGAUGCAUCCAGUAGUAGAGGAACUGAAACCAAAGAAGGAAACUGUGAUUUUAUGUUGUUCAAUGAAGACAUAGUUUGCCAACACAACCUUCUGUCUCCUACCGCUUCUUCUUGUAGAAUUCCUCAAGAUUUGAUAACACAAAUAAUGAACCUUUGUGGAGAAUCCAUACACCCAGCAAUAUAUCAGGAAGAUUUUAACACCUGUCCAGAUUGUGGGAAUAUUUUAGAAGAGUCCAUGCGUGCAUGUAGCAGUGGGCGGCAGCAAAAGAAGCAAUUAGGUAAUCUUUUCCUUGAGAAAAAAAGACCUCAUCCAACUCGUGACCCAGGCAAAAAGAUCUAUCUUGUAUCAAGAAAUUUCUUUGCUGAGUGGAAGAGCUACAUCAGGUCGUGUGAGCGUGGGGAGCUGGUUGUGUCGGCGCCUAUCCAGCUGGUGAACGCCCCACUACUGUGUACCCACAACCUCCUCUUGUUUCCCAUCUUCAACCUCCAGCCACAUCAGCUGACCGAACACCUCGUGCUGGUCUGGGAGGAAGAGUGGGAGAUCCUGAAGGAUUUGUACCCUCCUGAUCACAUCAUCACCGCCGUCUACACCGAAUCCGGCAUCCUCCUCACGCAGCCAGGUGUGUGCGAGGACGGGUGUGUGGAGAUGCGUGCCGCCCAGGACUACGAGGACCAGUUCUCCUACGAGCACGAGAUCAUCCACGUUCGGCAGGUGCACUCCGUCAACGACAUCCCCCGCAGGAGUGGCCGGACCAGAGGCGCCCAGGCCGGCUCCCCUACACAUAGUAACGAGAGUGUUGGUCCACGGAAGAAGCCCCGGCUGGCCUCCCUGGGUAUAACAGGAGGCGGGGGCGCGAGUGCCAGCGGUGGCUCCAGCACCAUGAGCAGUCAGCGGCUGGUGCGAGCCUCCAGGACCUUCUCCUCCACUGACACGCUGCGGGAGGUCCAGAACUUUAUCUCGGCGCGGACGAAUAUCUGGCCAAUCCUUCAGACGUUGUGGGUGUGUGAGGACGACCAGCCCACCCAGCUUACUGACGACCACCGCGGCAUGACCCUCAACGCCCUCAGAGUCCGCCCCGGUGACACCAUCUACUUCAAGGCCGCACUGGAGGACAUAGAGCGAGCUGCUGGUGACGGCGUGGUGGAGUUCAAUGAGAUAGAGGAGGACUGGUGAGAGCUCGUAGACUUUGUGAUGCUGACCGUAGUGGUGAUGCUGUAGUGGUGAUGUGCGAGCGGCUGCGUGGGACUUGCCAGGGCGUGUGGGCACAGUGCCGCAGGUGGUGAAGAAGAACCACCUGCUGGUGAAGCGGAGGGUGUAGACUGGGGGAGGAGGAAGUGGUGAGCAGUGCUCCCACCCACUCUUGUUACAUAUGGCCACAUCUGACACACUUACUAGUGGUGCUUCCCCGCACUUUAUCUCCACCUUUCCUCACCCUCCCUCUUGUCCCCUAGCAUUUCUCCCUUUCUUCUUCAGUGUAACCCUUAAUCCACUCAGUCACAGUCACACACAUUAGUGCUGCCCAUUAACCCAUUUUUAUUUUAUUUAUUUUUUUAAAUCCUUAUACUAACUCCUUGCCCACACACCCUGCUCCGUUUACCCCCCACCUCACACCUUUUACCCCAUUCCUCCAACACCUACAACCUGUGACAUGACAUUAUACCCAGAAACCUUUGUUCUCUUACCUAAACAACUCUUUCUCAACCCCCCCAAAAUCAACACUCAUCUCCUCACUCUUCUGUUACCCUUCACUUUUAAUUCAAGCUCACGCCCUAAACCAGCUUUCUAUUUCUUGAUCUGCACACACACACACACACACACACACACACACACACACACACACACACACACACGUACGUACGUACGUACGUACGUACGCACGUACGUACAUACGUACGUACGCACGUACGUACAUACGUACAUACAUACGUUCUCCUCCCCUAGGUCCCUCCUCCUGCAGUUCCCCCUGGCCCACCAGCGCCACUACACGAAAAAUAUCUUAAAACAACGAAGGUUUAAUAGCUAAAUAUGCCGACAAAUGUUGUUUUAAAAUACUUUUGUUGUUUAUUUAACAACACGCCAAAUUAUUUUUUAUUUCAAGUUCAUACAAAAGAACUGUCUUAAAUCAGUUCUUGCUUGGACAAUUCGCUUUUAUUUUCGAAUAAGAAGAAAAGCAAGUUCUGUAUUGUUCUCUUUUUCAGCCAGCUUAACGCUUGUCUCAGUUAUUCUUUUAUAAUUUACUAAUAUUCAGAAUAUAAUUAGUUGGUUGUUGGGAGAUUUUUUUUUAUUUUGCUUUUAAUAAACCAGUUUUGAUCAUGUUUGUGUACAUACAUAUAUAUCAGGCAAUAGAACUAAUCAGCACAGUAUUUAUCACAUCUGUUGUAAUGAGAUUCUUAAGUGUGCCUCCUUAUUUCCCCGUUCAACCGUGUCAGGAUCUCUGUUUAUGUUGUGUUUUUCCCCGUUGCCGAUCCCCGGAACCCAAGCGGUGGAUGUGUGGCUAUUUAAGGUGACCUCAAGUACUAUGUGUGUGGGCUCGGGGGACUCGUGUCGGACCAAAGCUGAGCCAGGUUUGUUAACAGGCUCGGUCUACGCUACCACCCCACCCCACCCCACCCCACCCCGUCUUCUUUGUCCAGGAAUGUUUUGGGUCACCUUUUUGUCAUAUUGUGGAACGCUGAAAUUACUUACUCUAGUUGCUUAAAUAAGGAAUUUUAGGUUAACUAUUUUUACUUGUCUUUAUUAUUUACCGGGGAUAAUUUUCCCCGUGAUGGUGGUAUUUGAUAUUGGGAUUAUCUUUUCAUACUUACUUAUUUUAGAGGACGCUGGAAUCAACUCUCCUUAUAUCUUUUUUGUUAUAAUUUUGAAGACUUUAGCCAUCUUCUUUCAUUGACUUGCUUGACAAAGUUACUUUCGGUCAUUCUUUUAAGCUUAUGUUGUGAUAAGGGAUCUUGAAGUUAUAAUUGUGUACUGUUAGCUUCUGAUUGAGUUCUUUUACGUGUUAGUUAGGUAGUGCUUAAUGAUGAUUUUUCAUGUGUUUACCACGCAUUGAAUUUUUAAAGACAAAGGGUGACAGUAGAGGUGCACCGUGGUCAGGUUUUCGUAACAGACACCUCAGAAGGUAACAAGUGUCAGUAGACAAGUAUAGGGUGUAUUCUAGUGUCUUCUCUCCAUUGCACCGUGUACUGUACCAUAUCCGCUGUUGUGUACCACACCUCUUGGUUUUGUCCCGUGUAUCAUAGCUUCUGGCCAUUAAUUUGCGCCACUUCACAUAAGUAAGUAUUGUAUUGUGUGAAAUAGCGUUUACAUUAUACGUUGCAUUUAGCUUUUACGACUGUUCUUAGUGCUCAAUUAUGUCUUCAUGUGAAAACAUAUAUAAUUAUCCUUGUUAAAGUUAUUACCAUUAGUUUUUUAUGCCAACAGCUUAAAUUCAGAGCAACUUUAAUUAUUGGUAAUUAUUUGUUGAGUUUAAGCAUACUUUAAGUAAUUAGACAUCAGCUAUAUGAAGAAGAAUUCAGAAUUUUUCCAUCUCACAUGUUUAUUACAAAGGAUUUUCGUGUCUUAUGUGUUAAUGAAUUGUAUUAUUUGUCAAAUAUUUUGCCAAAUAGCACUCGACCAAUACCCAGGAGUAAUCUCUUGUACCUUUUAAGUAUCUGGAAGUAUCACCAGUCUGUUUAUCCAACUGUGCCCUGAAUAAAUAUACUGAUUUAC
rnacentral:misc_RNA from 1 species